rnacentral:rRNA from 1 species
AUUGAACGCUGGCGGCAUGCCUUACACAUGCAAGUCGAACGGCAGCACGGGUGCUUGCCCCUGGUGGCGAGUGGCGAACGGGUGAGUAAUACAUCGGAACAUGUCCUGUAGUGGGGGAUAGCCCGGCGAAAGCCGGAUUAAUACCGCAUACGAUCUACGGAUGAAAGCGUGGGACCUUCGGGCCUCGCGCUAUAGGGUUGGCCGAUGGCUGAUUAGCUAGUUGGUGGGGUAAAGGCCUACCAAGGCGACGAUCAGUAGCUGGUCUGAGAGGACGACCAGCCACACUGGGACUGAGACACGGCCCAGACUCCUACGGGAGGCAGCAGUGGGGAAUUUUGGACAAUGGGCGAAAGCCUGAUCCAGCAAUGCCGCGUGUGUGAAGAAGGCCUUCGGGUUGUAAAGCACUUUUGUCCGGAAAGAAAUCCUUGGCCCUAAUACGGGCGGGGGAUGACGGUACCGGAAGAAUAAGCACCGGCUAACUACGUG